GUACACACCGCCCGUCACACCAUGGAAGCUGGUUAUACCCGAAGUCGUUACUCUAACCAUUUGGAGGAGGAUGCCUAAGGUAGAAUUAGUGACUGGGGUGAAGUCGUAACAAGGUAACCGUACUGGAAGGUGCGGUUGGAUCACCUCCUUU
rnacentral:rRNA from 1 species